rnacentral:rRNA from 1 species
GAUGAACGCUGGCGGCGUGCCUAAUACAUGCAAGUAGAACGCUGAAGGAGGAGCUUGCUCUUCUGGAUGAGUUGCGAACGGGUGAGUAACGCGUAGGUAACCUGCCUGGUAGCGGGGGAUAACUAUUGGAAACGAUAGCUAAUACCGCAUAACAGUAGAUGUUGCAUGACAUCUGCUUGAAAGGUGCAAUUGCAUCACUACCAGAUGGACCUGCGUUGUAUUAGCUAGUUGGUGAGGUAACGGCUCACCAAGGCGACGAUACAUAGCCGACCUGAGAGGGUGAUCGGCCACACUGGGACUGAGACACGGCCCAGACUCCUACGGGAGGCAGCAGUAGGGAAUCUUCGGCAAUGGACGGAAGUCUGACCGAGCAACGCCGCGUGAGUGAAGAAGGUUUUCGGAUCGUAAAGCUCUGUUGUAAGAGAAGAACGAGUGUGAGAGUGGAAAGUUCACACUGUGACGGUAUCUUACCAGAAAGGGACGGCUAACUACGUGCCAGCAGCCGCGGUAAUACGUAGGUCCCGAGCGUUAUCCGGAUUUAUUGGGCGUAAAGCGAGCGCAGGCGGUUAGAUAAGUCUGAAGUUAAAGGCUGUGGCUUAACCAUAGUACGCUUUGGAAACUGUUUAACUUGAGUGCAAGAGGGGAGAGUGGAAUUCCAUGUGUAGCGGUGAAAUGCGUAGAUAUAUGGAGGAACACCGGUGGCGAAAGCGGCUCUCUGGCUUGUAACUGACGCUGAGGCUCGAAAGCGUGGGGAGCAAACAGG